rnacentral:lncRNA from 1 species
UUCUGUCUGUCCCGAGCGGCUUGUAGUCUUCGCGUUAUUAGCAGUACCUUAUCUCUAGCACUCUGGACCAAUUCAGGACCGAGUAGUUUUCGCUCUCCGACCUCAUCCCAAUGCAGCGGAGAUCGGCAUUUCCUUCCAUAUAGAGCUUCAUAUGGUGCCAUUUGGAUGCUGGAAUGGUAACUGUUGUUGUAGGCAAACUCUACCAGAGGUAUGUGGUCGUCCCAGCCUCCACCUAGGUCCAUGGUACAAGCUCUCAACAUGUCUUCC